AGGUUGUUUGUGUCAGACGGAUGGAGCUUUCAAGAGUGGAUGCUUUUGCUGUGAUGAGCCAGAGAAGCAAGAUGCACAUGAUCCUCCAGUUUCAUGGCUUCACUUUUGGUUUGUCCUAGGGAUUGAAAAAAGUCCCAGAGAUCUCUGCAGCAACAUUGGAGACAGGCCUGGGUGGAGAAGACCAGAGAGGAGCUGGCACUGGAUCCAGUACGUUCUAAAGAAGCUGAGCUCUACUGGGUGGACAGAGCCAUGACUGGCAGAGAGAAAUGGAGUCUCCGGAGAGAGUACACCCACGACUGCUGGUGUCGAAUGAGGAUGGCCACAGCCCCCUA